rnacentral:lncRNA from 1 species
GGCAGCCCGGCGGCCUCCGGCGUAGCCCUUCGCCCACUCGGUGGUGCGCUUGGAAACUGCGAGAGGCCCUGCUUCAGGCAUCCGCCCUCAGAGGCGCUGGUGACCGUGGCGUCCCCCGGCCUGGCCUGGCCUCGGAGGAAGUAGAGGAAGCUGCUUCUGGGAAGAGGGAUUGCACUUCCGGAAGAGGGGGCGGGGCCCAGCCAGCUCAGCUGAGAAAGGCAGGUGGGAGCAACUGAGCCCUGGAAACAGCUCACAUGGCCUUCUGGGGAGCGUCCUCCUUCUUCUCUGAGCUCUUCCCAGAGUCUGAUGCUCUGAGGUUCUACUUCACCCUCUUCUUGUGCUGAGACACCAGUCAAGACCCUGGUCCUCGGUCCAUAUCUGGGUGGCUGCUGGAUGAGAGGUGAGGAGAUAGAAGUAACCCUGAGUCUCCCUCACUUGCAGAUAAGCCAGCUUUUCUGCUUGUCUCCACACAGCGCCCCAGAUUCCCUGCUGCAGUUCUGGAAACUCCCAACCUUUCUGCCUGAUUAGUUUUCCACCUGGACCUGCCCCAGCGUAUACCUCAGAGCCCAUGCAGGUGCCACGGUCCUGUCCCUGCAUCAUGAACAGCAGGCUUGUGAGGCCCUGAACUCUGGGGGAUGUUGGAGAUGACGAAGAAGAGGAGAAGGACCAAGAGGUUUUGCAGGGGGGAAAUCAGAGCUUCAUUCCAACGCGGAGAAGAGAGGGAAGGAGACUAAUAUCCAGGCUGAGCCUCUGGGCUGCCCGACCAAACACAGGAUUCUCCCCAGGAAGCUCUUAAGUCUGGAGGAAUACCUGCAAACUCCUUGGCGCUUCAGUAGAAAUGUUAAGGUGCCGUGGAGAGGGACUAUGAUGGAGACUAACUUCCUGGUGCCCAAGAGGCAGAAGCUUCAAAGCUCAUGCUUGGAAACUGCCUCACCUCGCUGUUCCCUGAGUCUCAGCGUAAUCUCCGUUCCAUCUUCUAAAGUCUGCUGAACACUUCUCAGCUUCAUUCAGCUCCUGCUGAGAUGUCCUGCCAGCAAAACCAGCAGCAGUGCCAGCCCCCUCCCAAGUGUGCCCCCAAAGGCCC